GCACAAGCGGUGGAGCAUGUGGUUCAAUUCGAAGCAACGCGAAGAACCUUACCUACUCUUGACAUCCAGCGAACUUGGCAGAGAUGCCUUGGUGCCUUCGGGAACGCUGAGACAGGUGCUGCAUGGCUGUCGUCAGCUCGUGUUGUGAAAUGUUGGGUUAAGUCCCGUAACGAGCGCAACUCUUAUCCUUAUUUGCCAGCACUUCGGGUGGGAACUCUAAGGAGACUGCCGGUGACAAACCGGAGGAAGGUGGGGAUGACGUCAAGUCAUCAUGGCCCUUACGAGUAGGGCUACACACGUGCUACAAUGGUCGGUACAGAGGGUCGCGAACCUGCGAGGGUGAGCCAAUCUCAGAAAACCGAUCGUAGUCCGGAUUGCAGUCUGCAACUCGACUGCAUGAAGUCGGAAUCGCUAGUAAUCGCGAAUCAGCAUGUCGCGGUGAAUACGUUCCCGGGCCUUGUACACACCGCCCGUCACACCAUGGGAGUGGAUUCCACCAGAAGCAGGUAGCUUAACCUUCGGGAGGGCGCUUGCCACGGUGAGGUUCAUGACUGG
rnacentral:rRNA from 1 species